ACAAUACAAAUAAUUUAGUGUUUACUUUAAAAGUAAAAAUCGACCAGAUGAUUAAGUAGCC
rnacentral:tRNA from 1 species